rnacentral:snoRNA from 1 species
UCCCGAUGAGGAAACAGUCACAUGUCUUACCUCCUGUCCUAGUCCCAGAGCCUGUAAAGGUGAACCCACUGGGGCUGGCUGGGGGAAAAGAGGAUGUUUGUUCCAGAAGGAACUGUCUGAGGGAU